UGUGGGCGGGUGGGUGGCGGGGAGCGGUGGCGGUUUACGCGCUUGAACUCUCCGCACGAAUUUCGCCCUUGGCUGCCUCGAAAGUCUCGGCCGGGGCGUUUCGCAAGGAAGUGGGAAUGCAACUUCUUUAAUCUGCCUCAGUAUGGAGGAACCGUCUCUGAGAGUAAGACUGCUUCCCUUUUGACACUGUCAAAGGGCCUUGCGGAAACCAGCAAUGGCACCACCCUCUGUCUGCACUAGUGCAUGUUUUAAUUCAGAUACCAGUGCGGGGGAAGUACAGAUCAUGUGUUCCAUUAUAUUGGAUUCCCUGUAGAACCAGAAAUGAAAUAUUUCAUCCAUGCUUACAAUCUACCCCCAGCAAAUAUAAAUGAGGAUUCUCUAUCAAAAUCCACUUUGCUAACUACUCCAGUAGACUUUCAGAUAAAAUGCCAAAUGCUCUUGUAUUUAGAGAACUACUGCACAAGUUGCAGAUAUAAUAUUUGCUAAGAAGACAACAAAAACAGAGGAUGGCAAUGAGAAGAUGAUGGUGAUAUAUAAAGAUAAAGGAGUGUGUGUGCCCGGUGCUGGGAAGUUCAGAGGACAAAGUACCAGGGCUCCUGCAGUAACGAAAAAAUGCAGAAGGCGGCAUUUUGAAAGUUGGCAAAGGAAAUACGAAACGGCUGGGUCACCUUUCUGAAGCUAACAGGAGAAACCUGACCAUGACCUGAAGAGGAAUUCCAGCUGUUGACCACAUUUGAAUAUCAGGUACAGAAAAGGCAUCUUUUUCUACUGGCCUGUGGAACUUUUUCUCAUAGUGGGCAUCAUGUUACGCAAUGACAGAAUUUAAAUGGAAAUAGGCAAAAUUUAAUUUGAAUUUGAAUUACUCAUAAAAGAACUCCUUGUAUGUUAGUAUUUUUGCCUUAUGCACACAGAAUUAAUAUUGCAUGUAUUAUAGGAAGAAGAUCAUCUAACUCCAAAGCAAAGCAAAUUACAAAGGUAGAAUGCUAUAUGUUCCUUUGAACUUCAAAGAUACAAUUCAGAGGGUAUUUUACAUUAUUGUUGUAUUUCAUUAUAGCUUUCAUAAGCCAAAUAAAAUUUGCUUUUUGUGAAAGAGCUGCAAUUUAAUCCUGCUUGCAACUAAAUUAUGUUGUUUAGUAUCAAAAUUUUAGAUUAAAUUUGCCUUUUUUUUAAAAAAGUAAUCUUCAGUUCUGAUAGUUCAGUGAAGCCCUAUUAUUUUAUUCUUUGGUGCCCUAGAUAAGGAUAUGUUCAUGUGCAUGGUAGGGUUUGGGUUAAAGGAGAAGAUGCCUCGUGCAGAUUUCAGCUGGAGGAAAUAUUUUGCAAAAUCAGCUCUGGUCUGUGCAUAAAACCAGGACAAAAGAGUAAGCACAUAAUGCUCUGGACUCUUCCCCCUGCCAAGGUGGGACAGAGACCAGGUGUUCCAGUAAUAGGAUUUGUGGGGUUUUUUUUGUUUUUUGUUUUUUUAUUUUUUAAUAUAUAUAUAUUAAAACACACACACCAUUUAUUGUUUGAAUGACAAACAUCAGGCUUUGGUGCAAAAUUCAUGCAGCACUGAAGUACUAACUAUUCAGUAGUAUGGUUAUCAGUUUGAUAGCAAAUAAAUCCUGGAGGGAUGCAAAAGGACUGCCUUGUGCUUUUUUAUUUCUUCAGAUGACAAAACAUCUUUAUAAAUAAAAAGCCAUAGUUUCCUGUAAGUAUACAUUUCCAAACCAAAGACUUCUCUUCUUAGUAGAAUGAAAUUGCUGGUCAUCAAUAGAAAGUUGUAUGAGAGUCUAGAAAGGAACUUCUAUACUGUUAUAUUCAAAACAGCCCUCGACAGAAUGAGAUAGUACAUUUUUUUCUGUUUAGGGGGAAAUGAAGAAUGCUCUGUAACUGGUGAAACAACUACUGACCAGAGUGAAGAAACACCUGUUUCACUCAUGUUCAAAAAUUAGUGGUGAUGCUUUGAACAGCCAUCAGGUGGCAGCAUAAGUGUGAAAUAACAUCAUCUACUUUGUAUAAUUACACUGCAAACGUUCUACCAAGUUAGUUACGUGUUUGCAUUCUCUUUUAUAUAAAAGCCCUUAGUCCAGUGCCACUAGUCACAUAGAUGAUACCUAGGGAAAAAUUCUUAUUAGAUUAAGGACCAAUAUUAAAUACACAGAUGUUUACUGUUUUGGGAAUUUGUCAGAAGUGCGAUAUUGGUAGAGUCUUGGGCAGAGUUGGAGAAAAGCCUUUGUCCUUGCAUAUGGGCUGCAAGUAUAUGAUGGACUGGAACAGCUUAGUGGAACAUAUUGGGUAUUUUUGAGCCAUGGUUAGUUAGCCUGCGGAUAAGCCAAGAACUCUGCUGUGGAAUAGCAGACUUCUCAUUUUGUCAGUGGUACUUUUGGUGACUUUUGGAAUAAAUGAAAAAAGGUGAGAACACCAGGAAGAAUAUAGAUAAUUAGAAGGUAUAUUUAAAAAAAAAAAGUAUGGUAUAACUUAUGCAGUGAUAUUUGUUUUAAACAUUCUAGAAGCAUUAUGUAAAUAAGUCUAAUAAUGACCUUUUAAAGUACAGUGGGUAGGAAAAAUAACCAUCCUCAUACGGGUCAACUGAAAAAAAAUCCCCAAGUUGCUUCCUCAAAGCUACACAGCCAGUUAAUGGCAAAGCCCGAAAUAGAACUGACUUGCUCAUUCUCAUAUCUGAUUUAAUUUUUCCAGGCCAUGUUUUCAUUUGUCAUGCAGAAGAAACAAGAUAAAAGCAGCCUUAGAAUCUGUUAGUGUUUUGAUUCAAGGCAAAUAUCCUCUGCCUUGCUGGGCUUUCUGCUGAUGUGUGGGAUUCAGAUUUGUCAUGUACCUGGUGAGACUGGAUUGUGAAUGUAUGCACACACAAUGCGUGCUUUUGAAUGCAUGCGUUUUUCUUCUUUCUUUGAACUCAUUUUAAAAUAAUGGAAUUUCUGUUUAGUGAGAAAUAAAAUUUAAUGCAUCAAAUUUGAAGAAUAAAUGUUCAAGAUAGUGAU